rnacentral:RNase_P_RNA from 1 species
UCACUGUUUUAGAUAGUCGCCCCAAUCUCUAUUUAACUAAGGUUAUUGUAGAGGGUGGGGAGGAAAGUCCGGACUCCAUUUUGGUCUCGUUUUUAAACGAGAUGAGUACCACUUUCUCCCUCUACUUCUGUAGAGGUGUCUAGGAGGUGGGUGGGUGUGAACUUACGGAUAAAAGGGCAACAGAAAGUAAAUAGCCACGCACUCAUUCGUGAAGGCGGGGCAAUAGUGAAAAGGUAGUGUAAGAGACUACCGGCAUUUUUGGUAACAAUAAUGUGCUUUGUAACCCCUACUCGGAGCAACUCCCGUAAAACGGGAGGCAUAGACAAAUGACUGUCUCAAUUGCGCAAAGCGCGAGGAUACAGAAUCCGGCUUACGAAACAGUUAAUCC